ACGUUAUAUGAUUUAAAAAUUCUAAAAUUCACGACGACGACGACGACGACGACGACGACCACGUGAAUUUAGAAAGUAAAAAGGAUUCGUCGGCAAUUGCAAUUAGCGAGACUUCUUAAAUUUCCUGGACAAUUAGCGAGUUCGUCGACGACGCGCAGACAACUCUCAGACGGAAUAAAUAGAGAGAGUGUUGUUCCGAGUUUAUUAACUCGUACCUCGGCCACUUGGUCGGAGGUGUGUAAAAGUCGUAUGCGCGAAGACGUAUGCGCUCUAAAUGCGCGUUCAGAGAGUACACAAAAAUACAUCGAUGCGUUACACUUUCGUAUAUUAUUUAUCGCUCGCCACUUUUGUUCGCAUUAAAUAGCCUAUAUAAUUGAGCGCAUCGUAUUAUUUUAUCGCUUAUUGUAAAUGCAAUAGUUCGUUAAAAGAUUUCGAUUAAUUUUCAGCAUGAAUUAGAAAGGCGCAGUUAACGAGGAUAUACGAGUUCUAGAAAGACAGAGGUUGUUAGCGAUAGCGUGGAAACGUUAAUUGGCGUGUAAGGAGAACGAGAUGUAUAUGCAAAUUUGAGUUUUACUCGUUAAAAAUUGAUUCUUCGUUAAUGCGUUAAAGAAGAUACUAAAUAAUUUUUAAUUGAAUUUAAUCCAUACGUUGUUUCCUCGAUUCGUCUUUAAUUCGUCCGACGUUUUAUAUAUCAUCUAUAUAAUAUAUUUUCGAGAGUAGAAAGCCGCAUAGAUUUAAUCCUGUAAAUAUCUACGGAUCGGUGCGAAAUAUAUCCGUUUCAAGAUGUCUUUGCCACGUCAUUUUACAUCAUUUUCAACGUGAGAACCGGAUUAUUACUCGUUCCUCAAUGUUUUUUGUCUUCCUUAAAUUAUAUUCCGCUUCGAGGUUAGGUAUGAAAUAUUCAUAAAUUCCAUCUAUUAAAGUAAACUCGGAAAAACCGAAUAAACGAAUUAUUAGUUCGGAACACGGGAAUACGAUUAACCGGCAUUUCAUUAAGAAAGCCAAACACCAAAAAAACCGAAUAUCAUUGAAACGAAUACCACUUCGAGAUGAUUACUCCUUCGUCUCGCAAUGGAGAGAUUCGCGAAUGGGGUUGAUUCGAGAUUUAGUCGAGGCGACAAUCAGCGCGCGAGGACACGAUAUCGGAACGCGUACAGACGAGCAGCAAGGGAGGGGGGGAAGGAGGCGACGCUCUAUUUACCGUCGAGAGGAAUUCUAGGUACGAGUUCGAGGAGCGUUGGCGUUGCACAACCUCGAAAAAAAACGCGUUUCGACGAGUGAGCCUUGUUGUACGCGCGCACGGGUCACUGGUUACGCGUUAAAAAAAGAAGCGGUGAAAUAAAAAAGGCGUUUGGAUAAACCGACGACCAAACUAACUGGGGCAAACGUGGCACCGCUCUGACCUCGUCCUCCCAUCGCUCCGGGCUCGUUCAAUAUACGAAACGUCACGGGCGUCGAUCGCUCGUUUUAAGAACACCAAAAUUCUCUCGCGUCCCAUCGAAUAGGAAUUCGUUCCGCCACCAGUUCGCGCUACGAUAGUUACUUGAGUAGUUGGUGUGACGACGUUUCAUCGACACGGAAAUGUAUUAUUGAAUAAUACGCGUUAUCAGCGAUAUCAGUGAUAGAGAUAAAAAUUUUAUCUACGAGAAAGGAUCGCGAAAAUGUAAUUGAAAACGAUAAUUCAAUGGAAAACCGCGAGAAAAAAUACGUUCGAUAAGCUAUUCUAGAAGUAACAUUUUUACACGGCUACGUGGGAGGUGUAUACCAAGAAUAGAGAUUACAACGGUAUUUCGAUGUUCCAAGCGACGCCACUAAACCGAUAAUUUCUAACAUUCUCGUGAUCCAUGAUCUCACAUAUUUUCUGGUCUAUUUACGACUAGACCGGGUAUAAUUUUAUUCGUACACAACUUGGUAAACGGUUGACUAUCCGAUUUUUCGAAAUCGGAUAUUAUAUUAUUUUAAAUAGAUAGAAAUGUUAUACCGCAAUAUUUUCUCUUUUAAUCGUACACAACGAUUUUUCAUAACGAAACUUUCUACGUUAUUGCACGAUAAAUAAUUACGUUCCACAAUUUACCAUAUUUUUCUUAAUUUCUAAACUUUUAUUCGAACGUAUAAAAGAUGUAUUUUAAUAUAUAGCGAAAAUGUAAUAAUAUGUAAUAUAAUAUAAAAAAGUUCCAAUACAUUUUAGAGGAAAUUCUCGUUGAUAAUAAGUUAUCGCGAAGAUAGUCGGUUUAAUAUUUGUGCAUCAUUAUACAACGGUACAACACUGAAUUCCAGCUGCUAAUAGAUCCAUAACAGUAAAGAACCUUAUUUUCGGAUUACGAAAAGGAAAGAGACGUGAACGAGAUUAUCAUCGAGAAGAAAGAAAUUAAGUACUUCUUUUCGAAAUGGUUUGCUAGAUUUCUCGCCAAAGCUAUAUAUUACAAACGAUCCUAGUAAAGACAUUAUAAUUUGAAAAUUUGUAUUGUAACCGAGAAAAGAAUGAGGAAAUACCAUUGAAGGAACAAUAAAAAUACUAACCUUA